rnacentral:hammerhead_ribozyme from 17 species
AGGGCGUCUAAGGCAGGUUCCCACUACAUCGCCUUACUGAUGAGUCUAGUGUGGAACCGAGACGAAACGUCAC